GAAGUAAAAGAAGUGUCUAAGCCUAUAAAGCCACUUCAGCACCGAUAUGGACGAAUAACAGGAGAGAUUAUGAGACGAAGGAAUAGAACUAGUGAUUUGUCAGUGCUUGAGAAACUAGCAGAAGAGGCUUGGAUUUUGGGAUUGAAGGCAUGGGGAGAAGUGGAGAAGUAUGAUGAAAAGGAGAUUGCACAAAAUUCCGUAUAUGAGGGGAAGCCUGAGUCAUGCCCCUCAUGGUUAUCAAUAAGUGGGGAGGAGUUGGUUGGGGGGGAAAAGAUGAUGUUCCUUCCAUGUGGUUUAGC
rnacentral:misc_RNA from 1 species